rnacentral:rRNA from 1 species
CCUACGGGAGGCAGCAGUGAGGAAUAUUGGACAAUGGAGGAGACUCUGAUCCAGCCAUGCCGCGUGUAGGAAGAAUGCCCCAUGGGUUGUAAACUACUUUUAUACAGGAAGAAACACUGGUAUGUAUACCAGCUUGACGGUACUGUAAGAAUAAGGACCGGCUAACUCCGUGCCAGCAGCCGCGGUAAU